UUUCAAAAACAAAAUUGAACCCUUCCAAGGCCCCAAAGUAAGGAAAUAAACGUUACAGCAAAGAGGACACAUAGGGGACCAGCACUGAACAAAGGUUUCAAAACAUACCUGGAAGACUGAAGAGGUUGGAAGCCCAAUGACAUUUAAAUCAGAGGGAGGAAAGAGUAGCGGGUUGGGGGCAGCAGCAACGGAGAGUGCAGAGAGCUCCUGCCAAACGGAACCACAGAGGCCUGCCUUGGACAGGUGCUGUGACUGCCCGGUCAGCAACCCGCAUUCCCUUUCAUCGCCCUGCCUCCACAGACAAGCACCUGGAGAUAUAACUGAAAAGGCCUAUCUCCAGGGAGCAAUGUAUUAGUUACAUGGAUGUAGCCCAGAGGGAAUUUUUGGAAAUUUGGAGAACUGCAUUCUAGAGACUCAAAACUGUGACUGCUGAGUGGACCAUCUAUGGGCAAGAGCAGAAUCACUGAAUACUGGAGGAGGGUUGCAAGGUGGCCUGGUUUCUGUGGCAGUGAUCUGGUAGGUUCUGCUGAGGAAAACUGG
rnacentral:lncRNA from 10 species